rnacentral:lncRNA from 1 species
AGUUUGUGGAGCAUCAUUUGAAGUUCCCUCCAUCUGUCCCACAUGACAGACUCUCACAUGUGUAUACUGCUAUUCUGAAGCCCGAUAAUGAGUUGAAAAUUUUGAUUGAUGGAGAAGAAAAGAAAACAACAAAUUUCUUGUCUGCUGAUGACUUUGAGCCAGCACUUGUUCCACCGAAGACCAUACCUGAUCCUGAUGAUAAGAAACCCGAGGACUGGGAUGAGAGGGCAAAAAUACCGGACCCUGAUGCUGUAAAACCAGACGACUGGGAUGAAGAUGCACCAAUGGAGAUUGAAGAUGAGGAAGCCGUCAAACCCGAAGGAUGGUUGGAUGAUGAACCUGAAGAAAUUGAUGAUCCUGAAGCCACAAAACCAGAAGAUUGGGACGAUGAAGAGGAUGGAGAAUGGGAAGCACAAAAAAUAGACAACCCAAAGUGCGAAGCAGCACCUGGCUGUGGAGAGUGGAAGAAGCCAAUGAAGCACAACCCAGCAUACAAGGGAAAAUGGCACGCUCCUUUAAUCGACAACCCAAACUACAAGGGUAUCUGGAAGCCACAAGAGAUAGAUAACCCUGACUACUUCGAGCUUGACAAACCAGACUUUGAGCCAAUCGCCGCUAUUGGCAUUGAGAUUUGGACGAUGCAGGAUGGCAUUCUCUUUGACAAUAUUUUGAUUUCUACUAAUGAGAAAGUUGCCGAGUCAUACAGGGCAGACACAUGGAAGCCUAAAUAUGAAAUCGAGAAAGAAAAG